rnacentral:rRNA from 1 species
CCUACGGGAGGCAGCAGUGGGGAAUAUUGGACAAUGGGGGAAACCCUGAUCCAGCAAUGCCGCGUGAGUGAUGAAGGCCUUAGGGUUGUAAAGCUCUUUUACCCGGGAUGAUAAUGACAGUACCGGGAGAAUAAGCCCCGGCUAACUCCGUGCCAGCAGCCGCGGUAAU